UACGAAGGGUGCAAGCGUUACUCGGAAUUACUGGGCGUAAAGCGUGCGUAGGUGGUUGUUUAAGUCUGUUGUGAAAGCCCUGGGCUCAACCUGGGAACUGCAGUGGAAACUGGACAACUAGAGUGUGGUAGAGGGUAGCGGAAUUCCCGGUGUAGCAGUGAAAUGCGUAGAGAUCGGGAGGAACAUCCAUGGCGAAGGCAGCUACCUGGACCAACACUGACACUGAGGCACGAAAGCGUGGGGAGCAAACAGG
rnacentral:rRNA from 4 species